CGGGAGGUAUAGCGGAGCGGCUGCCGGGAGGAUGCCUCGGUGCGGGGCGCGUCGCCCCUCUCAGGCCACCAGAGCCCGGAGACCUCAGAAAUUCGGCUCUGGGUCUGUGGGGAGCGAAAUGCAACCCAAAGCCCGUUUCCCCCCGCAGCCCCGCGCAGAUAAACACGCACAAGCACGCACACAGACGUCGCCGCGGCCGGCACUCGCAGCCGCAGGUUCCGGCGGCGUCAGGGAAGAGCCCGGGGACCAGACGGGGUCGCUGCCUUCGCCUGGCAGCGCCGGGCGCGGCCGCUCGCCCUCGCCGCUCGCAGGUGCGACGGAAGUGCCGGGCGUCACCGGCCCGGAGCAACGGCGCAACGGCCGGUCUGGGCCUGCAGCCUCGGCGGCCCGGGCGGGGCGGGAGCGGCCGGCCCGACACAGCUGCCUCAACUCCCCGCCCCGCCGCAGGACGCCUCCCGCCGCGUGCUGCUGCAUAACCCUCAGCUGCAGCUCCCCCACCCCGGCCUGCGUUCCUCGUUAGCCGACCCCGCCGAUCCCAGUGGGGAGAAGAGGGAAAAGAGGGACAGUAGAGAAGCGGGGGCUCGGUGUGGGCCUCUGAGAGCGUGGGGCAGGCCUGGGUCUCGCGUGACAUCCCACGCCUGGAGCCUGACAGUGUCCGCCAGCAAGCUUCUUCAUAAAACACUGAUGAAGCUACAAGGCCAGAAUGUUUACAGACCUAGGAGUUGCUUAUGACCUCACCAGCUGAGAACUGUGGGGAUUGAGGAGGUUACACAGGAGGAAGACAAGGAGAAACUGUUACUAAGGGGCAAUCUUCAUUCCCUAGGCUUCGUGAGUAACCCUGCAAACCACCUUGGCUGCUGGUCAGCAAAUCACUGACUGCAUUUGCUCCUCCUUGACUAACUUUGGGAAUCACACAGCUGAGCAGUAUAUAUUAGCUUCCUUCUGGCUUAUGAGAAAUAGCACAUGUGGGUUAUGUAACAAUUGCCUGGGUUAUUUUGCAGAGACUUGAACUUUUGCUAAGACAGGUUCUUCAGUGGACCCUUCAAAUAUCCCGUGGAUAAACACAGCCAAAGGCUUGGCGUCUGUCUUCCUACAGUGUCUGUCCAUUCCACUGUUCUAACUCCUGGGCCAGCUCUACAUUAGAUAAAUGGUCAUUAUUUGAAAAAGAAAAUGUAUUUUCAAGACUUGUAUAACUUGACCUGUUGCCUAUUGGAGCUGGUGUUUCUUCCACCCCACCCUUGUGCUCUCAAGGUAGCUUGCAGGCUUAGUCUAUAAACCAUGAGACCAGAAUGGUUUAUGAGAAACUCAGUAGUUUCUGAGCAAAGCUGACUACUCAUUAGCCCAGCCCAGCAAAUAAAAUUGUGUGUGUGUGUGUGUGUGUGUGUGUGUGUGUGUGUGUGUGUGUGUGCUCAUACACACACACAAGAAGCAUGUCUUUUGAAACCAUGUUGGAACUAACAGACAAGUCCAUCCCUGAAGAAUCAAAAGCUUGCUGUUUCAUCUUGUUCCACGAGCAGCCCAGUCACCUCUUUGGUCAGUAUUAGUGUCCUUCUAUUCUUAUGUGGAAGUCAAUAAAUGGAGCCUUGCCUUGACUGUCUCUGCUCACACCAUGUGCAUGGAGCCUGGCUUGGAGGCACAGGUUUAGAAUAUGAACUACUCAAGGCUGAGGCAAGAGCAUCACAAGGGUCAAGGUCUGCCUGUAGAAAGACCCUAUCUCAGAAAGUCUAAAGAGGGCUGAGGAUAUACUCAGAGCAUGCACACUAUCCAGAAAUGCAAAAAAAAAAAAAUAUUAUGACUUGGUCUCAUUUCUGUUGUUCCCACGCCAUAAAUCCUUCUAUCCAAUCUCAAUUUUAGUCUAUGGUUACUUGACUUGGAUGCUGCAGUGUAUGUACUGAGACAGAACAUCAUGACGGGAGCAUGUGUGAAACAAAGCAGGUCACAUCAGCAGAUGGAAGGCAGGCCUGGGGUAGCAGAAGCAAGAUAAUAGACUUCCUAAAAGCAUGUCCCCAAGGACCUGCUCUCAACAAGGUCCUAAGUUUGCACCAUCUUCUAAUAGUCCAUCCAAGGAUUAAUCCAUAGACUGAUCAAAGCCUUCAUGAUUAAUAUCCUCCCCACAGCUCCACAUUUAUUUAGACAUCAAAUACGUGGCUGGGGAUAACCUUAAACUUUGAUCCUCCUACAUCUACUUCCCGAGUGCUAGGGUUACAGGCAUGUGUCACUAGUUCAUGUGAUGUCAGGGAUCAAAUCCAGGCCUUUGUGCAUGCUAGGCAAACCCUGUACCAACUGAACUUCAUUCCCUGUUUGCAUUUAUUGUCCUUUACAUGCAGCCUCAGUGAUAAAUGGCCCCUUUGGAAGCCCGGCAGUGAAUUAACUAAGCUUUGGGAGCCCACCUGGAGAGCACCUAUAGGAACCCCUAUUGCUCAGAACUGGAGAAGCAGCUGGGAGUGGUGCAGGGCUUUGAUCCCAGCCCUUGGGAGCCAGAGUCUGGUGGUUCUCAGAACUUGAGGCCAGCCUGAUAUGUCUAGUGAGGUCCAGGACAGUAACGGCCACUGUUGUGAGACCCUGUCCAAAACAAACAAAUGAACGAUCAAAGCCCCAGGACCAUAUUCCAAAUGUUUCACACACCAUUGUUGAGUCCACACUCGAGCCCUGGGGAAAUGCUGAGCAGUUGUUAGUCCGGAGGCAUGAUGUGUUUCGUAUCAUUCCUCUGCUUCAGUGUAGACCAUGGACUAAGACUAUGAAAGACAAAGUGUUGAGAGCUGGAAUGAGGGAGGCGAUUGAAGAGAAAGCUGAGAAUAUAAACUAGAGCUGUUUCCUGGGACAAACAGAUGAGCCUUGAACUGAGUGGUGCAGGAGAGAGCAGAAGCAGCUUAACUGGAGUGCCAGAGAUC
ensembl:lncRNA